rnacentral:rRNA from 1 species
UAGGGAAUCUUCGGCAAUGGGGGCAACCCUGACCGAGCAACGCCGCGUGAGUGAAGAAGGUUUUCGGAUCGUAAAGCUCUGUUGUAAGAGAAGAACGAGUGUGAGAGUGGAAAGUUCACACUGUGACGGUAACUUACCAGAAAGGGACGGCUAACUACGUGCCAGCAGCCGCGGUAAUACGUAGGUCCCGAGCGUUAUCCGGAUUUAUUGGGCGUAAAGCGAGCGCAGGCGGUUAGAUAAGUCUGAAGUUAAAGGCUGUGGCUUAACCAUAGUACGCUUUGGAAACUGUUUAACUUGAGUGCAGAAGGGGAGAGUGGAAUUCCAUGUGUAGCGGUGAAAUGCGUAGAUAUAUGGAGGAACACCGGUGGCGAAAGCGGCUCUCUGGUCUGUAACUGACGCUGAGGCUCGAAAGCGUGGGGAGCAAACAGGAUUAGAUACCCUGGUAGUCCACGCCGUAAACGAUGAGUGCUAGGUGUUGGGUCCUUUCCGGGACUCAGUGCCGCAGCUAACGCAUUAAGCACUCCGCCUGGGGAGUACGNNNNCAAGGUUG